GUGUGUUACUCAUCUGGGAUCUUAACUGUUUGUUUUGCAAUAUUCCUUAUAUUGAAAUCGAACAUGAUGGCGCUGCUUGAUAUUUAUGUGACGUGCAUCUCCCAUGACUGAAUCAGCAUUGAGCUAAAGAUGUGCAUCUCCUUGCAUGCUACCAUUGCCCUAGCCCAUGUAUUUUCAGAAUUGAGCUAAUUUGGUCUUCUUUUCUUAGCGACAAUCAUCUUUUUGUAUCACAGUCUUCUUUUCUUCAUAGUCUGCUGCAUCUUCAGAUGUACCCUGUUUUGCUAUGUCUCAAAAUGUUCCUAAUUUGGUCUUUGAACAUAAGUGUGUGAUUUUCAAUUUUGAUAUGCUGGACAUGAUUUGCGGCAUCUAGAAUUAUGUCAGCUUUGUUCUGUAACUAGAAGACCAAAGUUUCUUGCUCACCUGUGGGACUUAACUGUUUAUUUUUACUAUAUUCCUGUUAUUAGAAUCGAACUCGAUGGUACCAGUUGAUAUUUACGAGACUUGGCAUCUCCCAUGACUCAGUCAGUGACACUGGACUGUGGAUUCUACAACAGCAGCUGAUUCCAUUUCUUGGUCUUUGAGGAUUUAAUGGACCUGGGCCUAGUUAAGUAAUAGGCUUGGGCUUGUGGUUGAAUGCUGUCAUUGUCCUAUAGCCCAGCUUUCUUUGCUUCUGGAGUUGUAAUUUCAGAUCUUCCAUUAGCCUGUCCCUGAAGCAUGAUAGAGAAGAUGCAACAAUUAUACAAAUUUCAUUCAUAGACAUAUAUUCCAGUCUUUUGCAUCAUUCAGGCUGAACCUGACUACAAGCAUGUCUUCUUUCUUUAACUAGGAAGUUGCUUGCUUUGCUGACUGAAAAAUACAUGCAUCUCAGUAUGACUAAAAAAUACAUGUACUACUUUGACUGCUAUUGAUAAAAUAUGUUUGUGGGGUGGCUAAAAGAUCUUAACAUUGCUUUGGGUCUACAACAGAUGAUCUAGAAACAAGUAAAGGGGACUUAAGGUAGUAAGUACUACACUGGAAGUCAAAGAUGCAUUGAGGCCAUUUAAAUAGUUUUAGUGCAUAUACCAGCACCUCGAGUUUUGCAAAAGAAAGCAUAGUUAUGCUUUAAAAGGAUGCAACUUUCCCUGGUGAAAAUCUGCUGACAAGCAAUCUGUGGUUUCUAUGGAAUGAAACAACUAGUAUAAUUAUUACGGAGAUGAACUUAUCGGAUUUGAUUUCGACCCUGACCGGGGAGAAGGAAAACGUCCCGAUUGUGCUUGCUAGGGUAAACCUUACUGAAUCUACCAUAAUGAAAAGAUUCAUCUAGUGGAUGGAGCUAUGCAUGGUAAAGCCCGGAUUCUAGCUUGCCUAGUAAUUGUUCUCCUUUUUGCUCAUGUUAACAUCAGGUCUUUAGGGAAGGCACUUCGCCCUCAGAGUUGGUGCCUGGAGCUGCUGAUUUGAUUUGGUGUUGAAAACUUGCAUGCCUCCUUAUCGUGCAGCUAAAAUAAAUAAACCAAGUUUGUUACUCCUCCGUGGUGCUGUGGGCACUCCCUCAUGUCACUAGCUCUUGCCGGCCCGGUCAUGCAUGCUGCGGACAUGGACAAAUGGUUAUCCUGAUGGUGCUUGCCUUGAUCUGCACUUGUUGGCCUUUCCCCAUUCCUGUGCACCUGGCAUCUCCACUGGGAGUUGGAUUUGGCCUGAUGAUCCCGCAGCUGCAUGUUGGACGGUGUCGGGAGCCUCCACGUAUGCGACGCUGGUGAUGGAAGCCGCUGCUGCUUUACUUGCUCUCAGGUCUGAUGCCCACUACACGAGCCAAAGCAGAGGAGGACGUGGCGUUGCGGUGCAAUCUGUCUGAUUCAUGGGAGGAAAUGUGAAGCAUACUACAAUCCUGUGUGCUUGCAACCAUUUUUGCAUGUGAUUGAUGGAAGGAGAUGGGAUCGGGAGUGCGCCACGGUAUUCCGGAAUCUUGAUUCCGAAUCCCACCAAGUGUGCUGAGCAAGUUACUAUGACCUGAGGAUCGGUGUCGAUGCACCUGUAGCACGACAGUGUCAUGUUGCUUGCUUUUUCGCCGGUCAGAAUGCAGAGCUGAGGUUCUCCGUGCCUGACGACUUUCGACCGCCAGCAGAGAAGUUCUCCGCACGCCAUAUCAGGUGCAAGUAGUUUAGCCAUAGCACAUCGCCAAACAUGGAUAACCUAUUUUUCUCACUGCUGGUUAGUUUCCCUUUGGUCAAAUGCACCCAUCUGCUAUCAGGUUGCCUGCACGCUUAUCCCCCAAGCACCUCAUACUCACGCUGCGUCUCGUUUACCCCGGUCGUCUGGACAGAGGACUACUGUUUUGAGCUACGGCUCCUGGUGUUUUGCUGUCAUACUUUCUGGUGGCUUUUGGACUGUCGUUUGUAAUAGGUCUAGAUGUUUGGUGCUACUAGGUUUUCGCCCCAUGGCGCCCGUUUCGAUGGCGGGCGGGUGCCGUGGGUUUCCUAGUAGUGCGUUGAACUCGCUCUCCCCUUUUCCCUGUUCUUAGUCUCAUCUCUGUUUCUCAGACUGGUUGUAUUUCCGUUCUAAGUAAUGGAAAGGGGGUUAGCCCGGUUCUCAAAAAAAAAAAAAAAGGUUGCCUGCACGCAAGAGGCUUCAGGCCAAUUCUAGAUUGCCAUACAGCUGAACUGAAGCUACACCUGACCUAAACCCGGCACGGUCCACACGGACCCUCGAGACAAGGCUCGAACUGAAGCCUCCUAAAGGCUAGAAAAAUGUUUCCUAGAUCAGGGGCGACCGCCUAUAUCUCCUGUAUGCAUCAACAUUGAGACUGUCGCCAUAUGGCUCGCAAUCUUCCUGCUCAUACAUUCUGUUUUCGACGGGUCGCUGCUCUGGUUUGGUGUGGUGGCGCCGGUCGUUUGGUGCGGGUAGAAUGGUCCUCCCAAAUAGCCAGGCAGGGCCAGAGAAUUGACGGCUCAAACAGUUGCGCUUUGCUUUUUUGUCUUUCUGAAUUUUUUUGUGCAGGAAAAUUGCUUCCUCUGUUCAGGACAAGGCGUCGAGGCAGCUAUAGACAAAAUCCAGAUUUGAUCUGUGGCAGUGCUGAAGAAGGCUCUGAUUAUCCACUCCCACUACCAGCUCAAGCAUAGCUCAAUCAUUCGAGGAACAGAGCUAGGGCGAGGCCUCGCCCACGCUAGCGGCUGCUACCUAGGAUUCCUAGGACUACUUACUCUUCCGUCCUUGCGAUCGUGGUGGGGUGCCGAUGAUUAGACGCCCGAUCCCCGACGGCAACAUACAUAGUGGCGAUGGCGGCCGACGGUGCAUGGGGGAGCAGUGGUGCUACGUGGACGUGCGCCGGGUGCUGGCCGCCGUCAUGAUUAACGCAGUGGUGGUGGUUCUGGUCUUGGAGAUGAAUCACUUUGCAAAGCUGCUGCAGGCCAAGGGGGUGAUGGUGGAGGGAGAAUCCUUGGCCUUGGCCUUUUGAUUCUGCGUGGCGCCUUUGCCAUGCACGAGUUCGGCCGUUAGCGCGCGCAUGAUGAUGAUGCCUCCUAGUCCUAGGCCACGCCCGGUCCGGCCGGCGCAUGCAUCAGAUGCACAUGCAUGAUGGAUGAUGCCAAAACUUUGUCAUAAGUCAUAACUUGAUCAUGCCAUCCAAGUAAAAUAGAUUUGAUAGUUUAAAGCAAACUCCAUCAUGCAUGUGCUUUGUUUCUUUCGGUUGUUGUUGUUGUUGCUGCUGCUGUUAUAUACUCAUGAGUAUUGUUUUUUUCAUUUGCGAGUGCUCAUGAGUGUUGUUUAUGCGAUUAAUUUGGUUAGGCAAAGUACAUGCAUGAUUUAAUCCUUUUUGUUUGGGAAAGAAAAUGGGUGCCAGUU